GAUCAUGGCUCAGGAUGAACGCUAGCUACAGGCUUAACACAUGCAAGUCGAGGGGCAGCAUGAACUUAGCUUGCUAAGUUUGAUGGCGACCGGCGCACGGGUGAGUAACACGUAUCCAACCUGCCGAUGACUCGGGGAUAGCCUUUCGAAAGAAAGAUUAAUACCCGGUGGCAUAAUUCUUCCGCAUGGUAGAACUAUUAAAGAAUUUCGGUCAUCGAUGGGGAUGCGUUCCAUUAGGG
rnacentral:rRNA from 1 species